UCAAGCACCUGCUGUACAUAGAACAACAACCCAUUACAGCUUUGACUAUGCAGAGCAGGUAUUCUACCCAUACUAGGCACAGCAAGAGGGCCCUGCUUUGAAGUGUCUGUAAAUCAUAUGGUUCUCAGAUAUUUAUCUCAGUGAUAAGGGUUUAGCUAUUAUUUGGCCAAUGGUGUGGUAUCUCAUUUUCAACAUCAUCCAUAUGGAGAAGAAUCUGCAUACCUGCACGUUGACAACUGUGUUGGGCAGAGUAAAAACAAUGCAGUCAUUGGGGUCUGAUGUAUUCUGAAGGGGCUACAUAGAGGAAUAGCAUUUACUUAAAUGGAAGCAGGUGAAAUAAAGUUCAGUCCUGUCUGAGAUUUGGUCUGUGGAAGACCAAAUGGAGGCAGCACACAUCCUUUGUGGAUUGAUGACCUUGGCAAACUGGUUAUAUUCUUUGACUGGUUGGAGUACACCAAGAGACCCCUGAAGUCCAUUCCAAACUUGAGGAAAUAUCAUCACUUCAGAACGUCAGCUGACAACCCAGUGAGUGAAUUCAUGAGAGAGCAUGUCAAGGACAGUGAGAUUGAAGUUAAAAUUGACAAGCCUACAACAAUGGCUUUUCCAUGGAGAGUACCAUGAACGCAUCCAACUAAAAGGACUUGAUGCAAAAAGGCUCUGAUCCCUUAAAUAACUGAAAAAAAAACUUUUCAGUAUACUGAUAUGUGAUCUUUAUAAACUAAAUCUAAGAUUUGAGAAUGAUCCGUUACUGAGCUGAUGAAAACGUGUAUCAAUUUUUAUUGACAAUUAUUUAUUCAAUAGAAACAUGUUUAUGUGAAAUAAGGCUACCAGUGAUUUCGAGUGAUAAACUGUGGUUUUAGCAAAUG